rnacentral:rRNA from 1 species
CCCUUAGAUGUUCUGGGCCGCACGCGUGCUACACUGAGUGGAUCAGCGGGUCAGGUUGCGCGAAAGCGUUUCCUAAUCUUUAAAUCCGCUCGUGAUGGGGAUUGACGGUUGCAAUUUUCUGUCAUGAACGAGGAAUACCUUGUAAGCGCGGGUCAUCAUCCCGCGCUGAAUACGUCCCUGCCCUUUGUACACACCGCCCGUCGCUCCUACCGAUUGAGUGGUCCGGUGAGGCUUUGGGAUCUGAGCGGAAAGAGCGUUUCGCUGUUCCUGCUCGGAAAACUCAGUCGAACCUUAUCAUUUAGAGGAAGGAGAAGUCGUAACA